GCAUCAAAUAGGUUGCCAGUAACACCCUCAAUUGUAUCAUCAACAGGGAGGACAUGAAUCCGCUUUCCAUACUUCACAUCAGGACACUGAUGGACAGAUACAACAUCUCCAAGACGAACUCUGAGAUUGGCUCGUACAAUUUUAUUCAUUCUGAUUUUUGACUCUUCGCAUUGUUCAUCAGCAAGUACAAUACACACCGUAUCUCUCCGCUUCU
rnacentral:misc_RNA from 1 species